UUAAACUGGACCUGGGCCAUCUUAUUCAAAUAUUGGGCCUAGUUAAUUUAUUCUACACAGGUUCACAGUUUUGCAAAGCUGAAAUGUAAAAAUGAUGAUAUUUAAUUAACAAAUUGUUGCAAGUUUAAGAGAGGAAGUCUGUUAAAUGAGGUAACUUAGAUUACCUAGUAAUUAAAACAACCUAAGGCCUUAUACAUAUUUGCAGCAUGCUUAUAAAGAAUAAACUGAAAUGCUAGAAUGUCACUACUACAUCACGGGUUCUUUAAACUAGCAUAUGAGAGAAAGAAUUCAUCAUCUAAAUUGUUACAGACUUAACUCAGUUAGACACAAUAAUCACUUUACAUGUUUCCGAUGCAGACUGCUAUCAUAUACAACUUAAUAUACAAAACUACAACUAAACAAAUUCGAAACUUUAAAACUUCAUUUCAUUUAUGCAUUAAGUUUCAGCUACAAGUGUAUCAGUAUAGCAAUGUGUACAUGGUAUUUGGAAAACAAAUAAGAGAGGAAGAUCAGUGGUGAAUCAAGCAGUAGCACAGCAACAGCAGCAACAAAUCGAAACCCAAUUUUAAACCAAAGUAACACUCAACCAAUAACCCAGAAUUAGUUUGCAAGCCAACAACGACACAAGCACCCCAAAACAGAUACCACUGAACGCGGAUAAACUCAAGACAGAAUACAAUGUGUACCUGGUAUCUGGAAAGCAAAUAAGAGAGGAAGAUCAGUAGUGAAUCAAGCAGUGACACGGCAACAGAUUCAGUAAAAAUAGUAGCACAACCAGUGAAACAAAACAGGAGAUAACCCAGUAAUGGAGUUGAAACCAAGCAGAAAAACAAAGCAGAAUCGAAUAACAACCUCAGAGAUUUUCAAAUAGAAAACCAACAGAAAGAUCCAAAGAACACUAACACAGUUGAAAAACCAAUUGAAAAACUCAGCUACCAAUUGGAUGCCAAUAGCACCAGAAUACCCUCAAAAUCAAAGAUGAGAAGAGUCAGUUGCUAGGAAUCAAUAACUUCUGGUUUCGAACACUCAAUUCACUUAGCUUUCUAAAAGUUGAAAAUCUAACUUAAUAUUACUCUCUUCCACUCUGAAAAUUCUCUUUUUUUUAAGUGUCAGAAUGACUCUCAUUUAUAUAUAAACAUGACUCUCUUCCCCUCCCCUUUAAUUAUUAUUACUACCAUCCUUUUAUUAUUACCCUUCCAAUUACCCUUCCAUUUUCUUUAAUUUUCAGCCCCCACUAUAUUAUUUUCUAUGUCUAUCUUCUAACAUUUUAUCAUUACUUAUACUAUUACUAAUUCCAAUUAAACAAACACUCUCAUUACUUAGUGGUCCCUUUCUACAAGUUAGUUCAAAGUAAAGUUGUUAGGGGCCUACAGGAUAGACCAAUUCAGUCAAAAAUCAAUUCCCAUUUUUGAACUUCCCAAGUUACCCCCGAAACCCCUUAAUUAUUAAUGCAUUACCUAAGCUUUACAUAUCUGAAGUUACAUCUAUGUAAGUUCAAACCUGAAACUAAUUUCUGCUAAAACACCUAAAUCACUAUAGAUAUGUCCAAUCUUCCUGAUAAUUAAAUGACUAAGGCGAAAUCAUUUAAACAAAAUAACUGAAUUUAAAUCAAAAACCAAAAAUGCAUCAUAGAACUCAACAAAACCAUUAAAAUGAAACUGAAAUUGAAUCUAAAUCUAAAUCACAUGGAUACAAGGAUCAAAUUUUAACACAAUUCUAAAUCGAAUCCGAUACAAGAAGGUAGGAUCAUUGUCAGUAUUGACAAUGCCCCGGAGCUUAACUUCCUAAAAUGAGUAUAUACAACUAUCGAUCCCAAAUUAUUUGACGACAUUCAUGCAGUCAAUUAUAAUAAUUAUGACCUGUAUUAGUUAACAACAAACAAACAGAAACAGAAAUAAAUGAACGAGGUGACCCGACAGAAAAUAAUGAAUUUAUGGAAACUAAUUAAUCAACGAAUCUAUUUAGACAAUUGCAUAUAACAAUUGACAAGAAACAAUCAGAAACAGGUAAUCAAACUAUUUAAAUGGUUUUUUUAACAGAGACUGAAAAUUAUAAUAUAAUUCAACUAAUCAACGAUAUUAGUCGAAUCGACAUUAUACUUUAUAAUACACACUCAACGAAUAGAAACAAUUUUAUCAAAUAAAAGGUCAUCGGAGAUGAGAAGAAUUAACUGAAAGAAAAAUAAAUUAAAAAAAUCAAAUAAACCAAAACAAAAACAACAAAUAGAUCCUACUAUCAGAGAAGAGUAAAUAAAGGGAAAAAUUACCUCAAGGACUCAAAACCAGAUGGACCCAGGCUCAAGCUCAGACUCGACCAUUUUGAGGUCGAACAUACCUUAGUUGAGGUGUUCUCGGCUGAGAACAGUUCGACUAAUGUCGAUUACACCCCAAAUCCCCUUUAAUUUCUGACAAAGCCCGUGUUUUGGUUUUCUAGGGAUAUAUGACUCGAUUUGGGGUUCGAGUAGUUUGGGUUAAAUUCGAACCAAACCAUGUAUGGUUUGGUGACUAGAGAGGCUAGGGAUAUGUUUGCGGUGAGUUUGAGGCCAGUUGGGAUGGUUUUAUAUUUUACUGGAAUCUUCGAUUGAAAAUUCGAGGAUCUACAACGUGAUUCAAACUAAACGGGUCAUUGAUUCGCGGAGAGGGGAGUUAGGAGGUUCGGUGGUGUUGAUUUGGUGGCGAAAGGAGUGGUUACCGCUGGUUUAAGGGCGGUGGGGUGUGCUGGCGGCGCUAGAGUUCUUGGGGUGUUUGGUAUGGUUGAGAGAGACGAAGGGGAAGGGGUCGUUUGGGAAUGGGGUGUGUGAACAGGGCCUGGGGGUUUUGGGUAUAUUAAACAUGACAAUUAAUUUGAGCCGUUGGAUUAUGAAAACCAGACGGCUGUGAUCUGACGUCUGGGCGAAACGGGGUCGUUUUAGGUCAAGCGGG
rnacentral:lncRNA from 1 species